rnacentral:tRNA from 1 species
GUGCCCGUAGUUCAGUUGGAUAGAAUUUCGGUUUCCGAAACCGAAGGUCGUGGGUUCGAAUCCCGCCGGGCGCACCA